rnacentral:rRNA from 1 species
AUUGAACGCUGGCGGCAGGCUUAACACAUGCAAGUCGAGCGGAGAUGAGGUGCUUGCACCUUAUCUUAGCGGCGGACGGGUGAGUAAUGCUUAGGAAUCUGCCUAUUAGUGGGGGACAACAUUCCGAAAGGAAUGCUAAUACCGCAUACGUCCUACGGGAGAAAGCAGGGGAUCUUCGGACCUUGCGCUAAUAGAUGAGCCUAAGUCGGAUUAGCUAGUUGGUGGGGUAAAGGCCUACCAAGGCGACGAUCUGUAGCGGGUCUGAGAGGAUGAGCCGCCACGCUGGGACUGAGACACGGCCCAGACUCCUACGGGAGGCAGCAGUGGGGAAUAUUGGACAAUGGGGGGAACCCUGAUCCAGCCAUGCCGCGUGUGUGAAGAAGGCCUUAUGGUUGUAAAGCACUUUAAGCGAGGAGGAGGCUACUGAGACUAAUACUCUUGGAUAGUGGACGUUACUCGCAGAAUAAGCACCGGCUAACUCUGUGCCAGCCGCCGCGGUAACAC